UACGUAGGGGGCAAGCGUUGUCCGGAUUUAUUGGGCGUAAAGAGCGUGUAGGCGGCCAUGUAGGUCCGUUGUGAAAACUCGAGGCUCAACCUCGAGACGCCGAUGGAAACCAUGUGGCUAGAGUCCGGAAGAGGAGAGUGGAAUUCCUGGUGUAGCGGUGAAAUGCGCAGAUAUCAGGAAGAACACCCGUGGCUAAGGCGGCUCUCUAGUACGGUACUGACGCUGAGACGCGAAAAGCGUGGGGAGCGAAACAGG
rnacentral:rRNA from 1 species